CUUCGGUGCGCCCGCCUCACGGCCGCCGGGGGGCUUCUGCCCCCGGGUCCGCGCGCACCGGAGACACUAUUGAACUCUGUCUGAAGAUUGCAGUCUGAGCAUAAACUAAAUAAGUUAAAACUUUCAACAACGGAUCUCUUGGUUCCGGCAUCGAUGAAGAACGCAGCGAAAUGCGAUAACUAAUGUGAAUUGCAGAAUUCAGUGAAUCAUCGAGUCUUUGAACGCACAUUGCGCCCCCUGGUAUUCCGGGGGGCAUGCCUGUCCGAGCGUCAUUGCUGCCCUCAAGCACGGCUUGUGUGUUGGGCUCCGUCCCCCCGGGGACGGGUCCGAAAGGCAGCGGCGGCACCGAGUCCGGUCCUCGAGCGUAUGGGGCUUUGUCACCCGCUCUGUAAGCCCGGCCGGCGCCAGCCGACAACCAAUCAUCCUUUUUUCAGGAUGACCUCGGAUCAGGUAGGGAUACCCGCUGAACU
rnacentral:rRNA from 1 species